CAGGAUUUAUUCUGGGAUUAAACAGGAGACAAGAUGAGAGAAGCUGAUCGAAGUGGCCAGACAUAGCUUUCUCCUCAGGUAGUAACAGGCAGUUAUUAAACGCAACUGCAACUCUAUCGUGCAAAGAGUAAACAUGCUGUUUGCUUCACUGUCGGGGGGUACUCUGUGACUACGGCUGGGAAUUGUCACAGCUGAGUUUAGCACUUCCUGCAAACUUUGGGGCCAGCUUGCAUAAUGCAAUGGCUAAAGAACAUGAUUCCAAUCAAACAGAACAUGUUCGCAGCUUGAAAAAGGACUCGGUCACAUAACAACUCAUACAUAAACCAUGAGGCUGCGGAACCAAAUGAAAUAAUAGUCACCAAGGGUUCCUGCACACCUGCCCCAGUCAGUCAGAGCCUGCACUCACUGAGUAUUGCCAGCACACGGCAACCAGCCCUGCCCUGAAAUCAAAUGGCAAAAAUAAACAUACGUACUGACCCAGUUAAAUCAAGAAACACGAGUGCACCUUUAAGCAGGCAGCAAUUCAGGUGGCCUCUCCAGGCCAGGCCUCCUCGGGGAUUUAGCUCUGUGUUCUAAGAGAAUUAACUGUUGUAGAUCCAGUGGCUUGAAAGCUGAGAUUGAGUUAGGUGUGAAUUCCACCCUCACUGAUGAGCUUUCACCGCACAUGCAUCUGUGAUUCUCUGAACAGAACACACCAAACUUGGAGCCCCUGACUCCUUCUAAAAAGAUAAUUCACUGCUCGGGCUGGCAAAGAGCUGUGUGAGGCCUGAAGACCAACUAGUGGGACCUGCCUUCAAACAUCUUAAUGUCUGCUGUGUGAGAAAAAUAAGUAGGCUAAUUAUGUUGGACUUGGAUGCCAUCUUGGUCUUCCUAUCUCUUCAUCACGUUUUCCCAGGUCACAAUCCAAUUGAGAAAUGAUUCUUUGUUGUCGUGUAGAAUAAGAGAAGACAA